CAGUCGCCACGGGAAUACAGAGGGUGCGAGCGUUAAUCGGAUUUACUGGGCGUAAAGCGUGCGUAGGCGGCUUUUUAAGUCGGAUGUGAAAUCCCUGAGCUUAACUUAGGAAUUGCAUUCGAUACUGGGAAGCUAGAGUAUGGGAGAGUAUGGUAGAAUUCCAGGUGUAGCGGUGAAAUGCGUAGAGAUCUGGAGGAAUACCGAUGGCGAAGGCAGCCAUCUGGCCUAAUACUGACGCUGAGGUACGAAAGCAUGGGGAGCAAACAGGAUUAGAUACCCCGGUAGUCCCUGUCUCUUAUAC
rnacentral:rRNA from 1 species